rnacentral:lncRNA from 1 species
GUUGGGCUUGUAUAUUGUUUGGGCCUAUUUGGACAAGAUUUUACAAUAUUUUCUGAAUAAAACAAAUAAAGACAGCAAAAAAAGAAAAAAAAAAGACUUGGCUUAACAUGAGUAACACAAAUAAGCAAGUGAUUUUCAGUAAAACAACCUUAAAUUUAAAGUUAACUGAUUAAAUUUGUAUUUGAGAUUGAGCUAUGCAACCUAAGACUGAUGUAGAUAUAUAUCUAUAAUUCUAUAUUAACAAAAGAUUUUCACUCAAAUCAGUGGUGGUACAAUUCCUAGUAUUUGUAGGAGUAUUCAUAUAACAACUACACAAAUCUACUUUUUCAAAAAAAAAAAAAAACUACACAAAUCUAACAAUAAUACUUUUAAUUUUUUUUAAAAAACAAACAAAAUAAUGAAAUAUGCAUGUAAUUGGCUGGGCAUAAAAGUAAAUGGAACCCACACAGAAACAAAAAAAAAAAGGGGACAUUUGCUAAAACCAACCCAAAUAUUCAAGUCAAAUGUAAAAGUAUACCCCACUUUCAGUCAAAUGCAAAACCAACCUAAAGGAGUAGUGAAAGUACUAUUUAACCCUUAUGACCAAACAAAAAACAGAAAUGUAUUUUACGUUUCUAUCCUUUGGAAGUCUAC